rnacentral:lncRNA from 1 species
AUUCACAUUGCUUUGUUGAGUGUGUUAGCAUUGCAGCAUGAUCUAGCUUAUAAGUAAUGUGUUAAACUAAUUUGAUGUGAUUGACUGUUACUUAUUUAAACCAAUGCAUUCACUCUCUCUGCUGUUUGAUGAAAUGUCUGACAAAGAUGAUGUGUUUUGUUGGACGGUGUUGACUGUUUGUGCGCAUGAGAACAUUCUAGGAUUGUGUUUGAUCUUAUUUUAGAAAAUCUUUUACUCUGAGACAAUAACAUUAUUGUUUGUGGCCUCGUCGUUAAUGUGAAAUAGAUCAAGAGAAUUGGCAGCCAAGACUAUGUCUCAUUGACAAAUAUAUAUAUUUGAAUUAUGGAGUCUGGUAAAUGGAAAGAGUCCAUUUCCAUAUACAACAUAAAGUUAGCCAAAAUGUUACACAAUCAGGUAUGGCGAUGCCAAAAAGCCGUAUAGUGCAGGAGCGCACGAGUCUCAUUCUCUCGCAUUCGUCCUUACCUGUGUUCUAUUCUAUUGAUCCAUAGGAGCAGUUAUAUCAUCCGCAGCAGAUCUUAUAGAGGAAGAAGCUGUUGAUGCAAUAAAAGCUGUGAUCCUAGGAGCUGCACGUAUAAUUAUGAUAUCUAUUUGAAUAUGUAUGUGCGUGUGAAAAAAUUUAUUCAACUUUGACUGCAAAUAGUGUACGAACGUAAUGUCGACCAUCAAGCCAUGUUAGCGACCCAAAAUUGUAUCCACCGCGAGCCUUGUUUCCUGAGAAUGAGACUUUAUAGGUAAUUCUUUGAACACUCUCUGAAAACACAAGUUUAUUGGGUAUGACCUUAACAACCAAUCCUUCAGGUGCAUGCACCUUUGCAACAUAUGUGGCAUUAAAUGUUCCCACAUUAGUAACUGUUCUUGUGAUCACUUUUGUAUUCUGAUUCCUUUUUAGUGUUCCUAUGGAGAUUGAUGGGUAGUUGAUGUUUGAUAUAAGGUCUGGAGAGGUCCUUGGGCAAGUGACAUUGCUCUUACACACGGACCUUAUGAUUUUAUUUGAAUAGCCGUAAUAACAAAGGAAUCUGACGUAGUCUUCUAGAUUUGUUUCAAAGACUAAUCCAGGGUUGAGAGCUUUGAGUGGAUUAAUUUCUCCAACUCCCAUUUCAUGUGGGUUGGCAAAGUAAUUUGAGCUAUUGGUCACUGGCUUCCUCAUGUUAUUGUAGGUUGUAGCUGAAGAAUUACACAACAACAAAACAAUAUAAGUAUAUGAAACAUUGACACAAACACAUAUCUGACACGACACUGACAUGUUGACACCAAUAAUAAAAAUUGAGAAAAUAGAAGUAAAUGAAUGUAAACAUAUGUGUCAGCGCCGGAUAUUGACACAUGUGGGACACCAUACAUGUUUUCAAUCUGAAGUCUUGGUGCUACAUUAAUUAAAAGAUUAGAAAAAGGUUUUCGUCUUUGAGUACCUGUUGUCAUUAAUGCUGAUUUGAUCAUGGAAGGAGUCCAUCUUCCAUGUAUUGAUUUGAUGAAUGCUGCAGCUCCAGUCACAUGUGGGCAAGCCAUAGAUGUACCAGAUUUUAUGCCAAAUAAGGAUGCCUUUUUCCCAAUUGGAACACUUCCUGGCUCAUCACUAUUGGGAAUCAUGGCAGCCAAAAUGGCAACUCCUGGAGCCAUGACAUCAGGCUUGACAAUAGAUUAGCAAAAAUAGUUAGUUCACUGUUCUUAAGAUCCUUAUGUAAUUCUUGAUACAUGGAUAAAUAAAUGAAAUGCAUGAUGGAACACAUAGUAGAAAAUUACCUUGAGAAUGUUUUCUGUUAGGCUUGAAGGGCCUCUAGAUGAGAAUGAUGCCACAAUUGGUGCAGGCCUAUAUCUAGGAAUUUCUAUUGUUGGAAGAAUUGUUGCAGUUGGUUUCCUGUAACAGAAAAAUGACAGACUGAGAGCAUAUAGCUAGUAUAUAAUUUUUUUUACUUUUUCC